CUACGGGGAGACCAAUCAACCUCGAAAAGCAGUAACACCACAAAUGAGAACAAAUAAGUGCGAUGACAGUUAAAGAUGUAUUGCCUGUGUAUGACGGGCUCCAUGUUAUUAAAAGGACACCAUCUAGAUAUUUUUCAUUUCAUUCUAUCACCAACCACUUGCUGUUUGUAAUCACCAACUGAGAAGGAUUUAUACUGCAAAUGGCGUUUACUUGCCUUUCUGUAUUGGCUGGAACUUCCAUUAUAAUGUGGAAUAUAGUGUGAGACAAGUUCUCGCUAUGCUGGCCAGGCUGGUCUUGAACUCCUGGCCUCGAGGGAUCCUCCCACCUUGGCCUUCCAAAGAGCUGGGAUAACAGGUCUCACUAUGUUACCCAGGCUGGAAAGCAGCGGCUAUUCACAGGUGCAAUCAUCGCGCACUGCAGCCUCUAAUUCCUGGGCUCAAGCUAUCCUCCCGCCUCAGCCUCCUGAGUAGCUGGGACUACAGGCAUGCAUCACCAUGCCUGGUUCUGUCUCAGAUUUAAGAAAAUAUUCUAUUACAGCAUAUCUUUGAGUAAUCCUUUCAGAAAAGAUGUGCAGGUGGUAAACUGAUUGAAUCCUUCGCUGAAAAAUGACUAUUUGGUAUCUUCAAAAUUUUAAAGGUCAUUUCCUUUACCUUCUGGCUUCCAGAACUGAUAAGAGUACUGAUGUGAAAUUUGAUUCCAUUCUCAUUCUUGUCCAUUUUUAGGUAAACUGCUUUUUUCUCUGCUUUGGAAGAUAAUAGGAUAUUCUUCUCCUUAUCAAAAAUUCACCAGGACGUGAUCUUUUUCAUAGUUUUUCAUAUUCACCCUGUUUGGCCCUCUUAAUCUGAAGGCUUGCGUGUUUCUUUUGUUGGGGCACAUGUUCAUUCAUUCACUCAUUACGGGCAGGGAUACACUCUGUCGCCUAGGCUGGAGUGUAGUGGUGCAAUCAUAGCUCACUGGAGCCUUGAACUCCUGGGUUCCAGUGAUCCUCCCACUUCAGUCUCCCAAGUGGCUAGGAUGACAAGUGUGUGCCACCAUACCUGGCUAACCCUUUUUGAUUUUUGGUAGAGACAAGGUCUUGCUAUGUUACCCAGGCUGGUCUUGAAACUCCUGGGCUCAAACAAUUCUCCCGCUUUGGCCUCCCAACGUGCUAGGGUUAUGGAUGUAAGCCACCACAUCCAGCAGAAAAUGUUCCUCUAUAAUUUAUUUUCUAAAUUAUUUCUUCCCUUCAUUGUCUUUUCUUUCCUGCCAGAGCUCCUAUGAGAUGAACUGAUCCUUCUAACUUUCCUUAUUUUCUGUCUCUGCCUUUUUGCUUUGUAUUCUAGUUGAUUUCCUUGACCCUUUCUUCCAGAACACUCGAUCAGUAUUCAGCUGUGUCCAUUCCAUUAUUCACCUACUGAGUUAGCAACUAUCAUUACUAUGGGUCUCCUCUCCCCUGGGUGGGCUGACUAAAGUUUUAUUUUUUAUAAGUGGACGAGAUACUAACUGGUUAUGUGGACAUGAAGUUGGAGGCAGGCAGGUAGGAAAUGGCCUUUCCUCCCCACCAGCAAACGUGACACUGGCUUUACCCUGGUGGUGAGGAUCUGAGAAUAUUUUGGAUACUCUCUUGGAUAAAACUAUAUUUCAUCUCAUCUCUGACCAUCCUUGCUUCCUUCACACAAACUCAAACCCUGCUCUGUUCUUGUAGGUCCCCACAUCCACACCAAAACGUCUUUCCCAGGCAAGUGGCUCAUUCUCUUUACAGUUUUAUUCUUAAGUCUCAAAUUAAAUGUGUAUGUUGCCUGCUGUCAGGGGUAAGAUUGGGGAACUAAGGGGCUGGAAGCAGUUAAUUCCCUGAUGACUGUCUUAAGACCCCUACUCAUGCUGUGCUUGAUGUUCUGCCAGAUUGGUUCUUACCAUUAUGGUAGUUUUCCCCCACGAGUGUUUUACCCUGUGAUUUUUAUUUUCUCUGUUAUUGUUUAUCUGCUCCUAUUUGUUUUCUGUCAAUAAUGCCUCAUAAUUUCUGGUCAGCUAAUGGCAUCUGUUCUUAUAUUUUCAGUGUUCAUUCACUAUUAAAGAAUGUAUUUUCUUUUUAAUGGAUCUUUGGACAAAAACAUGUGCUCAGUUCUCUAACUAGCACUAAGCUGUGUGACUUCCCACACUGGUUAAUGCAUGCAUGCCUGUGGGGGAUGAGGAUCUGUUUAUGUACUGCACUAACUUUUAGACAGAUAUAUUUAUGUAUAUUGCGCACAUAUUUGAUCUCAAUAAAUUUAAUCAAGAACUUAAUUUGAUGACCAUUUAAAAUCCAAGCAAAAAAGAGGCAAAAAUGCUUAUCAGAUAUACAUAUAACUACAUGGCUUAAUUUAACAGUUCUGUCUAUAUCUAUUUAUCCAUAGAUACAAUUAUAAUGAUAUAGAAUUAAUCCAGAAGCUAAAGUAGGAUCAUUUUACUCUAUUCUUUUUAUUCUAACUAAUAAAAGAGUAUCUGACAGGCUUUUGGUCCAUGUUCCCAGCAUUUCUGAAGGCUUCUUAUCAAAUAUGCUGUUAUUACCCAUAAUUUUAUGUAUCGAUUUGUAUAAUGUAUUUCAAGGAAAAAAUUCAAUAUCAGCCAUUCUUGUUUCUUUUUUUCUUUUUAUUGAACUACCAAGACUAAUACAGCACAUCACUAAGCAAAAAGUGCUAUUUACUAUGCAAAAGGCACAGUCAGUGAUUGGCAUCUAAGACCAAUUGAUCUACCCAUUACCACUAUCUCCCUACCCCCACAAGCAUUACUAUGAAGCUAUUGAUUUAAACACUGUCGAUCGGUUUCCAUUUUCUGAUUUUGGGCAGGCCAAUCAAGAAAGUGAGUAAUUGUGAUUACACUGCUUCAGGAUCAAUUACAUUUGAUGCAAGACAAAGUGCUCUUUUUGGAACACACACACAAAAUUUUUGAUCUAGCAUGCUGUUGUGCUUAACAAAAUCUAAAAUAAAUAAUUUGUAUCUUUAUAAUAACAAAACAUACUAAUGUAAAUGCUUUUAAUAGUCAAGAACAUUUUCUAUGUGAAAUACAUGAAUUAUUUUCCUAAUGUUAGUUUGAAAGAAAUUUAGAAAAAAUAUUAUUCACAUACACUCCUUGGCAUAAGAUAAAAAUCAAAUACUACCUGCAUAUAUAUCCAUCCUUAAAGAGACUUAGUUAAUUAUGAAAGACAAAAUGCAAAUCCUGUUCAAGAGACUAUAAAGGAAGUCUUUGUAAAUAAAAUUGGGGAAAAAAAUCCAAUUACAUAGGAAUCAAAAGGUUCUUUAUACAAAUUGAUAAGAAAAAGGAAUCUUUUUUAGUUCUUAAUUUUGGUCUAACUUGGUACGUGAGCUUUGUCAUUGGGUUCACAUUGUCCAAAUCAUUAAAAUGAAUAUACCUCUGGUGUCAGAGGCAAAUCUAUUUAGAGUGAUGUUACUCAUAGCCUGUUGUUCAGUAAUAUUGAUCUGUGUUGUUUGUCUAAUAGAAAAAUAAUAAACAAUUACUAGGCAAUGUUGGGAAAAGUAAUCAGUUUUUAUAUAUCACUAAUACAGCAGACCUCCCAAAACAUAAAGGUGAUGAUCUGCAUAAAAUCAAUGUGUUAUGCUACAUUGCUUAUAUUUAUCAUUGCAGGUUCUCGGCAAUAAAAGGUAUAACAUUAGGCCAGAAUUACUGGUAAACUGAAAAGGUAUAUGAAAAUGAAAAGUUCACUAUGUUUAAUCUAUACAUUUAUUUUAAAAUGUCUAUUUCUAAAACUUCAAGACUUUUAAAUCAUAACAAAUUCUGUUCUAAGCUAGCUAAAAUGUAGGUAAAAUGUCUCAAUUCUUUUUAGAAUAAAAACAAAGAAACUUCAACUCAAAAUAGCCAAUUGGGCCUUAUAUCAGAAAAAGAAAAGAGUUCAAAGAUAAUUCUCAAUGAUGCAUGAAUACGGCUUUGUUCUAAUUUGCUAAUAGCCUCUGAAUUUCACAAGAAAUGUAUAAAGCAUUAUAGAAAAACAUUAACAACAAAAUCCAAUCCUAAAAAAGCUCUUCUGAACAGCAUUCAGCUAUGAAACCUUUGCCAACUGCAUAAAUGUUCUCUUUUGACUUUUAUCAAAGCAGUUUGUAAAUGGAUGUAAAAAGGAAAAAAAAAAUGUGUGAGUUUUAGGUACUGAUGGCAUCAAUAAUAUUCCACUUAAGAAUCUCAAGAUAACAUGUAUGUAUAUCUCAAAAGAUAUCUUCUCUGAGCUAUUUAAUAAUAUUAUUAAUGCUUUUAAUUUCUCCUGGAUUUUCCUCAUGAAUUUUCUCAUAAAUUUUCUAAAACUGGAGUGAUAAGUUAAAAAUUACUUAGUAGUAGCUUCUUUCUUUAACCAACAAACCAUGGAUUUCAAUCACAUAUGGCAGGUUGUAAUGGCUAGGUGUGUAACGAAUGCUAAAAAUACAUAUACUACACACAAUUUGUACAACUAUUCCAAGGCAGUCUAAACAUUAUCAAAGCAAAACAUAUUUGUUUAAAUGUUUUGUCUUUCACACACACACAAAAGCUGUUGAAAGCUUAGUUUUUGAUCUGCUAUCCUUUACAGGUUAUAUAAAAAAUAGAAGAACAAUUGAACUUACCACAACUGGAAACUGGCAGUCUGAGUAGAAUCACAAAAGUCAAUACCCAUUGAAACUGUAAUGGAUCCCUCAGGCUCAAGAGAGUCUAGGAAAUAAGAUAAUUUAGACAUGAAAACACAGAGGAUGUGAAAAAGAGGCAAACUAAACACUGAAAAUUUAGGUAAUGUUUGUAGCUUGGUUGAAACUGUGAAAUGUAAUGAUGGCUUAAAAAUUUCAAACUAAGAAUAUUAAAGCAAAUUACAAAGUA
rnacentral:lncRNA from 1 species